UAAAAACCCCGACUUCGGAAGGGGUGUACUUAUUAGAUACAAAACCAAUGCCCUUCGGGGCUCUUUGGUGAUUCAUGAUAACUAUACGAAUCGCACGGCCUUGCGCCGGCGAUGGUUCAUUCAAAUUUCUUCCCUAUCAACUUUCGAUGUUUGGGUAUUGGCCAAACAUGGUUGCAACGGGUAACGGAGGGUUAGGGCUCGACCCCGGAGAAGGAGCCUGAGAAACGGCUACUACAUCCAAGGAAGGCAGCAGGCGCGCAAAUUACCCAAUCCCGACUCGGGGAGGUAGUGACAAUAAAUACGGAUACAGGGCCCUUUCGGGCCUUGUAAUUGGAAUGAGUACAAUUUAAAUCCCUUAACGAGGAACAAUUGGAGGGCAAGUCUGGUGCCAGCAGCCGCGGUAAUUCCAGCUCCAAUAGCGUAUAUUAAAGUUGUUGUGGUUAAAAAGCUCGUAGUUGAACCUUGGGCCUGGCUGGCCGGUCCGCCUCACCGCGUGCACUGGUCCGGCCGGGCCUUUCCCUCUGUGGAACCCCAUACCCUUCACUGGGCGUGGCGGGGAAACAGGACAUUUACUUU
rnacentral:rRNA from 1 species